rnacentral:rRNA from 1 species
UACGUAGGGUGCAAGCGUUAAUCGGAAUUACUGGGCGUAAAGCGUGCGCAGGCGGUUUUGUAAGUCUGUCGUGAAAUCCCCGGGCUCAACCUGGGAAUUGCGAUGGAGACUGCAAGGCUAGAAUCUGGCAGAGGGGGGUAGAAUUCCACGUGUAGCAGUGAAAUGCGUAGAGAUGUGGAGGAACACCGAUGGCGAAGGCAGCUCGCUGGCCUACAACUGACGCCGAGGCGCGAAAAGCGUGGGGAGCAAACAGG